ACAGGCCUGCUGCGGUGCGGCAAGAGCUGUCGGCUCCGGUGGAUCAACUACCUACGACCGGACAUCAAGCGCGGCAACUUCACCGACAAGGAGGAGCAGUCAAUCAUCUAGCUGCACCAGCUGCUCGGCAACAGGUGCCCCCUUUACCCCUUGUCGCCUUCCUCCUCCUUCUGCUGCCAUGUACGGGCACCGCGGGCUUCCUUCAGUUGCCUGCUCAUGUUUGCUCUUGUAGUUCCUGAAUCCCUCUUAUAUUGUUGUAGGUGUUUAGUUCCCCUGCUCUUAUCAGUGUUAUAUCAUCUCUCUGAAUUUGUAUGUACUAGCCCUAUAGUGCUGAUGUAG
rnacentral:rRNA from 1 species